rnacentral:rRNA from 1 species
AUUGCCCCAGUAACGGCGAGUGAAGCGGCAACAGCUCAAAUUUGAAAUCUGGUCCCCAGGGCCCGAGUUGUAAUUUGUAGAGGAUGCUUUUGGCGCGGCGCCUUCCGAGUUCCCUGGAACGGGACGCCAUAGAGGGUGAGAGCCCCGUCUGGUCGGAUGCCAAGCCUCUGUAAAGCUCCUUCGACGAGUCGAGUAGUUUGGGAAUGCUGCUCAAAAUGGGAGGUAUAUGUCUUCUAAAGCUAAAUAUUGGCCAGAGACCGAUAGCGCACAAGUAGAGUGAUCGAAAGAUGAAAAGCACUUUGAAAAGAGGGUUAAACAGUACGUGAAAUUGUUGAAAGGGAAGCGCCUAUGACCAGACUUGGGCCCGGUGAAUCAUCCAGCGUUCUCGCUGGUGCACUUUGCCGGGCACAGGCCAGCAUCAGUUUGGCGCGGGGGAGAAAGGCUUUGGGAACGUGGCUCCCCCGGGAGUGUUAUAGCCCAUUGCGCAAUACCCUGCGCCGGACUGAGGUACGCGCAUUGCAAGGAUGCUGGCGUAAUGGUCAUCAGCGACCCGUCUUGAAACACGGACCAAGGAGUCGUCUUCGUAUGCGAGUGUUCGGGUGUCAAACCCCUACGCGUAAUGAAAGUGAACGCAGGUGAGAGCUUCGGCGCAUCAUCGACCGAUCCUGAUGUUCUCGGAUGGAUUUGAGUAAGAGCAUACGGGGCCGGACCCGAAAGAAGGUGAACUAUGCCUGUAUAGGGUGAAGCCAGAGGAAACUCUGGUGGAGGCUCGCAGCGGUUCUGACGUGCGAAUCGAUCGUCAAAUAUGGGCAUGGGGGCGAAAGACUAAUCG